CGGCAGUUAUCCCUCCAUUUUGUGUGAAUGGGGACAGCAGGCUGUCUCCUAUUUCACGCAUACACACACAAACGCACCUCUCUCUCUCUCUCACGCAUACACACACACACGCACCUCUCUCUCUCUCACGCAUGCACACACAAACUCACCUCUCUCUCUCUCUCACGCAUACACACACAAACUCACCUCUCUCUCUCUCACGCAUACAUACACAAACGCACCUCUCUCUCUCUCUCACGCAUACACACACAAACUCACCUCUCUCUCUCUCACGCAUCCACACACACACGCACCUCUCUCUCUCUCACGCAUACACACACAAACGCACUUCUCUCUCUCUCUCACGCAUACACACACAAACUCACCUCUCUCUCACGCAUACACACACAAACUCACCUGUCUCUCUCUCUCACGCAUACACACACAAACUCACCUGUCUCUCUCUCUCACGCAUACACACACAAACUCACCUCUCUCUCUCUCACGCAUCCACACACACACGCACCUCUCUCUCUCUCACGCAUACACACACAAACGCACUUCUCUCUCUCUCACGCAUACACACACAAACUCACCUCUCUCUCUCUCACGCAUACACACACAAACUCACCUCUCUCUCUCUCACCCAUACACACAAUCUCACCUCUCUCUCACGCAUACACGCACAAACUCACCUCUCUCUCUCUCUCACGCAUACACACACAAACGCACCUCUCUCUCUCUCUCACGCAUACACACACAAACUCACCUCUCUCUCUCUCACGCAUACACACACAAACGCACCUCUCUCUCUCUCACGCAUACACACACAAACUCACCUCUCUCUCUCUCACGCAUACACACAAACUCACCUUCUCCUCUUCAUACACACACACACGCACCUCUCUCUCUCUCACGCAUACACACACAAACGCACCUCUCUCUCUCUCACGCAUACACACACAAACGCACCUCUCUCUCUCUCACGCAUACACACACAAACUCACCUCUCUCUCUCUCACGCAUACACACACAAACGCACCUCUCUCUCUCUCACGCAUACACACACAAACUCACCUCUCUCUCUCUCACGCAUACAUACACAAACGCACCUCUCUCUCUCUCUCACGCAUACACACACAAACGCACCCUCUCUCUCUCUCACGCAUACACACACAAACGCACCUCUCUCUCUCUCACGCAUACACACACACACGCACCUCUCUCUCUCUCACGCAUACACACACAAACUCACCUCUCUCUCUCUCACGCAUACACACAACAAAACUCACCUCUCUCUCUCUCUCACGCAUACACACACAAAACUCACCUCUCUCUCUCUCUCACGCAUACACACACAAACUCACCUGUCUCUCUCUCUCUCACGCAUACACACACACACGCACCUCUCUCUCUCUCACGCAUACACACACAAACGCACCUCUCUCUCUCUCACGCAUACACACACAAACGCACCUCUCUCUCUCUCACGCAUACACACACAAACUCACCUCUCUCUCUCUCACGCAUACACACACAAACGCACCUCUCUCUCUCUCACGCAUACACACACAAACUCACCUCUCUCUCUCUCACGCAUACACACACAAACGCACCUCUCUCUCUCUCACGCAUACACACACAAACUCACCUCUCUCUCUCUCACGCAUACAUACACAAACGCACCUCUCUCUCUCUCUCACGCAUACACACACAAACGCACCUCUCUCUCUCUCACGCAUACACACACAAACGCACCUCUCUCUCUCUCACGCAUACACACACACACGCACCUCUCUCUCUCUCACGCAUACACACACAAACUCACCUCUCUCUCUCUCACGCAUACACACACAAACUCACCUCUCUCUCUCUCUCACGCAUACACACACAAACUCACCUCUCUCUCUCUCUCACGCAUACACACACAAACUCACCUCUCUCUCUCUCACGCAUACACACACACACGCACCUCUCUCUCUCUCACGCAUACACACACACACGCACCUCUCUCUCUCUCACGCAU
ensembl:lncRNA